UACGUAGGGACCAAGCGUUGUUCGGAUUUACUGGGCGUAAAGGGCGCGUAGGCGGCAUAUUAAGUCAGCUGUGAAAUCUCCGAGCUUAACUCCGAAACUGCAUUCGAUACUGCCGUGCUUGAGGACUGGAGAGGAGACUGGAAUUUACGGUGUAGCGGUGAAAUGCGUAGAUAUCGUAAGGAAGACCAGUGGCGAAGGCGGGUCUCUGGACAGUUCCUGACGCUGAGGCACGAAGGUCAGGGGAGCAAACGGG
rnacentral:rRNA from 1 species